rnacentral:rRNA from 1 species
AGGUGAACCUGCGGAAGGAUCAUUGUCGG